CCUCCCCCUCAGACCCUAGCUCGCGGCGACGGCGCGAGGUUGAAGACGGGCACCCGUGCGCUGCUAUCGUUGGCGGCGCACGAGCGCCCAAUAAGAAAAUUGGCCACCACGGGUUCCCACCCCUAUCCAUCGACGCCACGACAUCACAGAACAGCUGCUUCUCGUCGGCGCCGUGAGGCCUUCCCGUCCAAGGCAACACCGGACCAUCUAUGCUUGGUCAGCUGAGGCUAAUGAAGAAGCUGGCAUGCUGGAGUACAUAUAUGAGGCAGCAUAGCAGAGGCUUGACGGAGGCCUACAGUCUAAGACAAAUGCUAGAUUACAAUUCUUAUCUGUUGUCGGAAUGUUGUAAUUAAUUUUUAGUUCAUGUGAACAUGGCAAAUCUCUUUAUCUGAAUUCUAGAAUGAUUCAGUGUAUGAUUUUCUUAAUGGUUGAACUUUUCUGUGUCACCUUGCUGAUACACACACAUA